rnacentral:tRNA from 1 species
GACCCAUUAGCUCAGUAGGUAGAGCACCUGACUUUUAAUCAGGGUGUCCCGCGUUCGAGUCGCGGAUGGGUCACCA